UCGGACGGUUCGCGACAUCUCUAUAUAUUUUUAGUAUUUUGUGCUAUUCACUCAGAUUUAUUAGACGGAUCAGCCAUUUUGGUAUACCAUGUGGAUGCAGAUAACCGUCCUGUGCAGCCAGGAGGGGUGAGACCAUGCCUAUCAGACACCACGUGAUAUGCUGUUUAUCUUUUAUGUUACUCUACUUUUAAACCAUAUUACCUGAAAAGUUGUGCCUAGUUUGCCAUGGCGAGAUGGUGAUAUAAUCUAUGUUAAUUCCCUUUUGUGUUGUCAGUGCAGUUUUAACAUGAUAUUUUUUUUAGAUAAAGACCUGUGAAUUUGCAUUUUUGGUACAUAAAAGUUGUGACUAUUCUGUAAACCACUCGUACAGCGCUACAGAAUUUGAUGACGAUAUAUAAAGAGUAGAUUAAUAAUAAGCAGAAUGAUUUCUGUAAACACAUUCGGGAACAUAAUCUUAGGCAAUUUUGUAAUUAUUUUUAAUAAAUAUUCAUACACUCUGGGUGUACAAUUUCAUAUCAUCAAACCCGUAGCACAAAAAACAAGGUAAUGCCAACAUAAAACAAUAAGAGUGAGAAACAUUGGGAUAGUGCAAAUAAGAGAUUAUGUUGUAUUAAAAGGAACACACCCAAGAGAAUACAACAUUUAGAUUCACAGCCUUAGUCGUGUACGGUGAUAAAAUGUUAUAUACAUGUAUUUAAACACCAAAUAAAUCACAUCACUCCAUAGUGAUCACAAACUAUAACAUGCAGUAUGAUCCAGCAACAUCAGUAGAGCAAGACAAGCAAAAGUGCUAUUCGUAAAUAAAGGAAACGAGCACAUACAGAUAUGAAAACUUUCCAUAUAUUACCACGGUGCGACCACCACAGAGUAGCGGGACACAAUGGGAAAAUAAUAGUUCUAAGAUGCACAGUCCGAGUUAGUGAACAUAAGACUGUAUUCAAAAAUAAGAACUCCAUGUAAAUUCUCUGUUGAGACCGCUUGGUACCAUUGUUUCCAAUGUAUGGAUCUGAUAAGCCUUUCUUGUUUGUAAUCUUUUAUGAUUACCUCCUCUUCUCAGGAGUGGUACAUGAUCAAAGACCUGAAAAGUCAAUUGGGAUGUGUUAGGAUUACAUGUCAGAAAAAGUGAUGCUAGCAAGAGAUCUUUAAUGUUUUAUUUUUAUCUACUUCCGAAGGAAAUUACAUGAAGAAUUCUGCCUUGGUUCCUAUAGAGAAAUGCUGGUGUGCUCUAUUUUGUACGUCCUUUUUAACAUUUUCCUUGUCAUUGUAAUACUAUAUAUAAAAAUUUUUUUUAGAAAGACAUGUUUGUAUACGUAAAUAAGCAGAACUGAUUCUGUGAAGUCGGGUACACAAUUACAG